rnacentral:rRNA from 1 species
AGUGAACGCUGGCGGUAGGCCUAACACAUGCAAGUCGAACGGCAGCACAGUAAGAGCUUGCUCUUACGGGUGGCGAGUGGCGGACGGGAGAGGAAUACAUCGGAAUCUACUUUUUCGUGGGGGAUAACGUAGGGAAACUUACGCUCAUACCGCAUACGACCUACGGGUGAAAGCAGGGGAACUUCUGACCUGGCGGGAGUGAAUGAGCCGAUUGCGGAUUAGCUAGUUGGCGGGGUAAAGGCCCACCAAGGCGACGAUCGGCAGCAGGCCUGAGAGGGUGACCGGCCACAUUGGGACUGAGCGACGGCCCAGACGCGAACGGGAGGCAGCAGGGGGGAAUAUUGCACAAUGGGCGGAAGCCAGAGGCAGCAACGCCGCGUGCGGGAUGACGGCCUUCGGGUUGUAAACCGCUUUCGCCUGGUACGAAGCGUGAGUGACGGUAAUGGGUAAAGAAGCACCGGCUAACUACGUG